UACGUAGGGUGCAAGCGUUGUCCGGAAUUAUUGGGCGUAAAGAGCUCGUAGGUGGUCUGUUGCGUCGGCUGUGAAAACCCGAGGCUCAACCUCGGGCCUGCAGCCGAUACGGGCAGACUAGAGUUCGGCAGGGGAGACUGGAAUUCCUGGUGUAGCGGUGAAAUGCGUAGAUAUCUGGAGGAACACCGGUGGCGAAGGCGACAUCCUGGACCGGUAUUGACGCUGAGGCGCGAAAGCCAGGGGAGCAAACAGG
rnacentral:rRNA from 1 species